GGGGAGUCACAGGGCGAAGAAGUGCAUCAAAAGUGUGAAACAGGUGUUUGGGUUGGUGGGACAGUGUGCUUAUGAGGGUGUUGAAGUAGCUUACUUUUGCAGAGGAAAGAGCCAUGCUGUAGGAGCGCAGCAUAAAUUUAUAGUGGACAAAGUCAGAUGCAAAGUGAGACUUUCUCCAGCAGCGUUCAGCAGUUCUGGAACAUUUUUGGAGGUAACG